UGAUUUUGGUCGCCAACGAGUGGCGGACGGGUGAGUAACACGUAGGUAACCUGCCCAGAAGCGGGGGACAACAUUUGGAAACAGAUGCUAAUACCGCAUAACAACGUUGUUCGCAUGAACAACGCUUAAAAGAUGGCUUCUCGCUAUCACUUCUGGAUGGACCUGCGGUGCAUUAGCUUGUUGGUGGGGUAACGGCCUACCAAGGCGAUGAUGCAUAGCCGAGUUGAGAGACUGAUCGGCCACAAUGGGACUGAGACACGGCCCAUACUCCUACGGGAGGCAGCAGUAGGGAAUCUUCCACAAUGGGCGCAAGCCUGAUGGAGCAACACCGCGUGAGUGAAGAAGGGUUUCGGCUCGUAAAGCUCUGUUGUUAAAGAAGAACACGUAUGAGAGUAACUGUUCAUACGUUGACGGUAUUUAACCAGAAAGUCACGGCUAACUACGUGCCAGCAGCCGCGGUAAUACGUAGGUGGCAAGCGUUAUCCGGAUUUAUUGGGCGUAAAGAGAGUGCAGGCGGUUUUCUAAGUCUGAUGUGAAAGCCUUCGGCUUAACCGGAGAAGUGCAUCGGAAACUGGAUAACUUGAGUGCAGAAGAGGGUAGUGGAACUCCAUGUGUAGCGGUGGAAUGCGUA
rnacentral:rRNA from 2 species